ACGUGAGUAACCUGCCCUUGACUCUGGGAUAACCUCCGGAAACGGAAGCUAAUACCGGAUAUGACGCACGGAGGCAUCUCCUGUGCGUGGAAAGAACUUCGGUCAAGGAUGGACUCGCGGCCUAUCAGGUAGUUGGUGAGGUAACGGCCCGCCAAGCCUACGACGGGUAGCCGGCCUGAGAGGGUGACCGGCCACACUGGGACUGAGACACGGCCCAGACUCCUACGGGAGGCAGCAGUGGGGAAUAUUGCACAAUGGGCGCAAGCCUGAUGCAGCAACGCCGCGUGAGGGAUGACGGCC
rnacentral:rRNA from 1 species